rnacentral:rRNA from 1 species
GAUGAACGCUGGCGGCGUGCCUAAUACAUGCAAGUCGAGCGAACAGACGAGGAGCUUGCUCCUCUGACGUUAGCGGCGGACGGGUGAGUAACACGUGGAUAACCUACCUAUAAGACUGGGAUAACUUCGGGAAACCGGAGCUAAUACCGGAUAAUAUAUUGAACCGCAUGGUUCAAUAGUGAAAGACGGUUUUGCUGUCACUUAUAGAUGGAUCCGCGCCGCAUUAGCUAGUUGAUAAGGUAACGGCUUACCAAGGCAACGAUGCGUAGCCGACCUGAGAGGGUGAUCGGCCACACUGGAACUGAGACACGGUCCAGACUCCUACGGGAGGCAGCAGUAGGGAAUCUUCCGCAAUGGGCGAAAGCUUGACGGAGCAACGCCGCGUGAGUGAUGAAGGUCUUCGGAUCGUAAAACUCUGUUAUUAGGGAAGAACAAAUGUGUAAGUAACGAUGCACGUCUUGACGGUACCUAAGCAGAAAGCCACGGCUAACUACGU